UACGGAGGGUGCAAGCGUUGUUCGGAAUCAUUGGGCGUAAAGCGCGUGUAGGCGGCUUGGUAAGUCGGGUGUGAAAUCCCGGGGCCCAACCCCGGAACUGCAUUCGAAACUGCCUCGCUAGAAUCCCGGAGAGGAAGGCGGAAUUCCCGGUGUAGAGGUGAAAUUCGUAGAUAUCGGGAGGAACACCAGCGGCGAAGGCGGCCUUCUGGACGGUGACUGACGCUGAGACGCGAAAGCGUGGGGAGCAAACAGG
rnacentral:rRNA from 1 species